rnacentral:rRNA from 1 species
UGCAACCUGGCGGCGUGCCUAUCAUGCAAGUCGAGCGGACCAAUGGAGCUUGCUCCAUCGGUUUAGCGGCGGACGGGUGAGUAACACGUGGGCAACCUGCCCUGCAGAUCGGGAUAACUCCGGGAAACCGGUGCUAAUACCGAAUAGUUUGGCGCCUCUCCUGAGGCGCCACGGAAAGACGGUUUCGGCUGUCACUGCAGGAUGGGCCCGCGGCGCAUUAGCUAGUUGGUGGGGUAAUGGCCCACCAAGGCGACGAUGCGUAGCCGACCUGAGAGGGUGAUCGGCCACACUGGGACUGAGACACGGCCCAGACUCCUACGGGAGGCAGCAGUAGGGAAUCUUCCGCAAUGGACGCAAGUCUGACGGAGCAACGCCGCGUGAGUGACGAAGGUUUUCGGAUCGUAAAACUCUGUUGUGAGGGAAGAACAAGUACCAAGUAACUACUGGUACCUUGACGGUACCUCAUCAGAAAGCCACGGCUAACUACGUGCCAGCAGCCGCGGUAAU